rnacentral:rRNA from 1 species
GAUGAACGCUGGCGGCGUGCUUAACACAUGCAAGUCGAACGGUGAACACGGAGCUUGCUCUGUGGGCUCAGUGGCGCACGGGUGCGUAACACGUGAGCAACCUGCCCCUGCCUCUGGGAUAAGCGCUGGAAACGGCGUCUAAUACUGGAUAUGUGACGUGACCGCAUGGUCUGCGUUUGGAAGGAUUUUUCGGUUGGGGAUGGGCUCGCGGCCUCUCAGCUUGUUGGUGAGGUAAUGGCUCACCAAGGCGUCGACGGGUAGCCGGCCUGAGAGGGUGACCGGCCACACUGGGACUGAGACACGGCCCAGACUCCUACGGGAGGCAGCAGUGGGGAAUAUUGCACAAUGGGCGCAAGCCUGAUGCAGCAACGCCGCGUGAGGGAUGACGGCCUUCGGGUUGUAAACCUCUUUUAGCAGGGAAGAAGCGAAAGUGACGGUACCUGCAGAAAAAGCGCCGGCUAACUACGUG